AAUGAACGCUGGCGGCAGGCUUAACACAUGCAAGUCGAGCGAGCGGCGGACGGGUGAGUAAUGUAAGGGAAAAUGCCUGAUGGAGGGGGAUAACUACUGGAAACGGUAGCUAAUACCGAAUACCAGCAGAUGUGCCCAGAUGGGAUAAGCGAUUAGGUGGGGUAAUGGCUCACCUAGGCGACGAUCCCUAGCUGGUCUGAGAGGUUGACCAGCCACACUUGAACUUGGACACGGUCCAGACUCCUACGGUAGGCAGCAGUGGGGAAUAUUGCACAAUGGGCGCAAGCCUGAUACAGCCAUGCCGCGUGUGUGAAGAAGGCCUUCGGGUUGUAAAGCACUUUCAGCGAGGAGGCGUUACUCGCAGAAGAAGCACCGGCUAACUCCGUGCCAGCAGCCGCGGUAAUUC
rnacentral:rRNA from 1 species